rnacentral:lncRNA from 1 species
GACCCUUUCAAAGUUCAAAUCAUUUCAACCACAAUCAAAAUAAAUCCAUAGAAACUUUCACAUCACAUUUUGUUUGACAGUUUUACCUUUCUUAGGAAAUGAGAUCCUAAUAACCUAAAUAACUUUUUUUUUUUUUUUUUUUGCAUUAAUGGUCCAGUACUUUAGAAAAUAAUAAACAUUUAUAGCUGAAAAUUGAUGAAUUAAUUAAGAUUAUCUACUGUACAAAUUUGAAAGUAAAUUUAACAAUAACCCUUGUAUGAUUAUCCCUUGUAAUAAUUUCAACUCAACCUUGCCUUUUCUGUUAGCAAGCACUGGUGCAAAAGGACGAAAUAACCAAGAAAAUUUUACACAGAUAAAUAAGCAAAUCCGGCUACUACUUUUUCCCUUCUCUAUCGUACAUAUUUUGUGAAUAAAAGUUCUAUGUUACAAAUCAAAAUUGUGGUGAAGUUGCAUAAGCCAUAUCUAAUUUCUCUCAAAUUCUCAUUCUAAAUUAGAAAAGGCUAGUUGCCCAAGCUCAACUCUAGGCAAAAAUAAUUUUUUGAAGGAAGAAAACAAAAGUUGCACAAGCUUGUACAUCCCUUCUUCACAACAUGUGGCUAUCUUUAUGAGGUCUACUUUGUGAAUGAAUUGUUGCUAUAAGGCGUGAAGUGAGAGCUACACACCCCCAACUUGGCCUGCAGCAAUGCACCAAGCAUGCAGAUUAUGCAAUCACUUUGUGGCACAAAUUUCCCUUCAAAUCAGUUCUAGAUCAAGGUAGUCAGCCAAGCAUAAGUGUCCAUCCAAACAGCUUAGGAUAAAGGCAAGUUAGCGCACAAAUGAUAAAAGAAUGCAUCAUCAAAGUGCGAAAUAAAUUUCUAGCCCAGGGGCUGCUGUUUCUCCCAAAGAGGUGAGCCAACGGAUGGUUUUUUGUGCAGAUAAUUUUGAAGUAUCGUGUGCCACAUGAAUAGUCAAUCAAUACGGAAUGACAUAUGGCAGAGCAAAAACAUCAGCAGGUUCUAUAUGAACAGCUUCUGCCCAUACCUGCAGUGUAUCCACAACCUCUGAAGACUUCACCACAGGUUUUCUUUCUUGGGAAUGAUUGCUGCCAAACAGCCACUCUUGGUCAUCAAAAUCAGACCACUCAUUUGCUUUUGGCACGGAAUAUACCUGACUUAUGUACUUGGUAUCUGGAUGUGGUUUGGGUACUUUAAUCACGGGAUUAGCUGGCACUGUGGCAGUGGGAAUCUUGUUUGGGGAAACCACAGAUGUUGGAACUUCAAUGAUACCAUUUAUCUUGCGAUCCUUGUUUUCUACCUUAACAUUAGUGGCGGCUGCAGGCCCAUCUGAAGCAUUUAUAGGGGAAAUUUGGCAAGGUUCCAAUAUCCUUCCAUUUUCAGUGAAAGGAUGAGAGGAAGAGGGUCCUGGCAACAUACUGGGCCUACUGUCAUGGGCUGUAAGANNNNNNNNNNNNNNNNNNNNNNNNNNNNNNNNNNNNNNNNNNNNNNNNNNNNNNNNNNNNNNNNNNNNNNNNNNNNNNNNNNNNNNNNNNNNNNNNNNNNNNNNNNNNNNNNNNNNNNNNNNNNNNNNNNNNNNNNNNNNNNNNNNNNNNNNNNNNNNNNNNNNNNNNNNNNNNNNNNNNNNNNNNNNNNNNNNNNNNNNAGCUUGUACAUCCCUUCUUCACAACAUGUGGCUAUCUUUAUGAGGUCUACUUUGUGAAUGAAUUGUUGCUAUAAGGCGUGAAGUGAGAGCUACACACCCCCAACUUGGCCUGCAGCAAUGCACCAAGCAUGCAGAUUAUGCAAUCACUUUGUGGCACAAAUUUCCCUUCAAAUCAGUUCUAGAUCAAGGUAGUCAGCCAAGCAUAAGUGUCCAUCCAAACAGCUUAGGAUAAAGGCAAGUUAGCGCACAAAUGAUAAAAGAAUGCAUCAUCAAAGUGCGAAAUAAAUUUCUAGCCCAGGGGCUGCUGUUUCUCCCAAAGAGGUGAGCCAACGGAUGGUUUUUUGUGCAGAUAAUUUUGAAGUAUCGUGUGCCACAUGAAUAGUCAAUCAAUACGGAAUGACAUAUGGCAGAGCAAAAACAUCAGCAGGUUCUAUAUGAACAGCUUCUGCCCAUACCUGCAGUGUAUCCACAACCUCUGAAGACUUCACCACAGGUUUUCUUUCUUGGGAAUGAUUGCUGCCAAACAGCCACUCUUGGUCAUCAAAAUCAGACCACUCAUUUGCUUUUGGCACGGAAUAUACCUGACUUAUGUACUUGGUAUCUGGAUGUGGUUUGGGUACUUUAAUCACGGGAUUAGCUGGCACUGUGGCAGUGGGAAUCUUGUUUGGGGAAACCACAGAUGUUGGAACUUCAAUGAUACCAUUUAUCUUGCGAUCCUUGUUUUCUACCUUAACAUUAGUGGCGGCUGCAGGCCCAUCUGAAGCAUUUAUAGGGGAAAUUUGGCAAGGUUCCAAUAUCCUUCCAUUUUCAGUGAAAGGAUGAGAGGAAGAGGGUCCUGGCAACAUACUGGGCCUACUGUCAUGGGCUGUAAGAAAAUUCAAAGAAUUGUAAAAUUGUUAGCUAAUCUCAAAACAAUGAGCAUAGAAACUCAAGAAAAAUGAACCUGUCAUGGAAAAAAUUCCCAACUAUGAAAAUAUCGAAAUAGUUGUGACAUCACUAGAGGCCUGACAAACUCUCACAGAAUGUAGUUUUGCUAUUAGGUCAACAAAAUAGUACUCUAACAGUAGUAAGGAAAAAAACUCAAAUAUGGGUCUAACGCCAACCCAAUGGAAUUCAUUGAACAGCAAUUAGAACGUGAUUCAUUACACAUGCCACUCACCAUGUAGAACUCCAUUAGAAUCAAUUUCCUUCCGUUUCUUGAGAUUGUCCCCAAUGAUAGAAUUCCCAUGAGCUGUGAGAAAAUUUAAAUUUAAACAAUUGUAAAAUUGUUAGCUAACCCACAAAACAAUGAGCAUACAAACUCAAGAAAAUUAACAUUGUAAUAAUGGAAAAAAUUCCCAAAAAUAGUUGUGACAUCACUAGAAACCCGACCAAAUAUCAUAGAAUGUAAUUUUGCUAUUAGGUCAACAAAAUAGUACUCCAACAGAAGUAAGAAAAAAGUCAAAUAUGUGUCGAACGACAGCCUAAUGAAAUUCAUUGAGCAGCAAUAAGAACAUGAUUCAUCAGACAUGGCACUCACCAUGUAGAACUCCAUUAGAAUUAAUUUCUUUCCGUUUCGUGAGAUUGUCACCAAUGAUAGAAUUUUCAUUGGCUGUAAGAAAAUUUAAAGAAUGGUAAAAUCGUUAGCUAACCACAAAACAAUGAGCAUACAAACUCAAAGAAAAUGAACAUUGAAAUAAUGUUAAAAAAAAUCCCAACUAUGAUAAUUCCCAAACACAAAAUAGUUGUGACAUCACAAGAAACAAGACAAAAUCUCAGAGAAUGUAGUUUUGCUAUUAGGUCAAUGAAAUAGGACUCUAACGGCAGUAAAAAAAAGAGUAAAAUAUGUGUCUAACGACAACCCAAUGAAAUUCAUUGAGCAGCAAUUAGAACAUGAUUCGUCACACAUGGCACUCACCAUGUAGAACUCCAUUAGAUUCAAUUUCCUUCUGUUUCUUGAGAUUGUCCCCAAUGAUAGAAUUCUCAUGGGCUGUAAGAAAAUUUAAAGAAUUGUAAAAUUGUUAGCUAACCACAAAACAAUGAGCAUGCAAACUCAAGAAAAUGAACAUUGUAAUAAAUGAAAAAAUUUCAAACUAUGAAAAUGUCAAAAUAGUUGCGACUCACUAGAGGUAGAAACCCAACAUAAUCUCAUUGAAUGUAAUUUUGCUAUUAGGUCAACAAAACAGUACUCUCGGCAGUAAGAAAAAAGUCAAAUAAGUGUCUAACAACAACCUAAGGAAUUCAUUGGGCAGUAAUUAGAACGUGAUUCAUCACACAUGGCACUCACCAUGUAGAACUCCAUUAGAAUCAAUUUCCUUCCGUUUCUUGAGAUUUCCCCCAGUGAUAGAAUUCUCAUGGGCUGUAAGAAAAUUUAAAGAAUUGUAAAUUGUAAAAUUGUUCGCUAACCACUAAACAAUGAGCAUGCAAACUCAAGAAAAUGAACAUUGUAAUGAUGGAAAAAAUUUCCAACAAUGAAAAUAUCAAAAUAGUUGCGACUCACUAGAGGUAGAAACCUAACAUAAUCUCAUUGAAUGUAAUUUUGCUGUUGGGUCAACAAAAUAGUACUCUCGGCAGUAAGAAAAAAGUCAAAUAAGUGUCUAACAACAACCUAAGGAAUUCAUUGAGCAGCAAUUAGAACGUGAUUCAUCACACAUGGCACUCACCAUGUAGAACUCCAUUAGAAUCAAUUUCCUUCCGUUUCUUGAGAUUUCCCCCAGUGAUAGAAUUCUCAUGAGCUGUAAGAAAAUGUAAAGAAUUGUAAAAUUGUUGGCUAACCAAUAAACAACGAGCAUGCAAACUCAAGAAAAUGAACAUUGUAAUAAUGGAAAAAAUUUCCAACUAUGAAAAUAUCAAAAUAGUUGCGACUCACUAGAGGUAGAAACCCAACAUAAUCUCAUUGAAUGUAAUUUUGCUAUUAGGUCGACAAAAUAGUACUCUCGGCAGAAAGAAAAAAGUCAAAUAAGUGUCUAACGACAACCUAAGGAAUUCAUUGAGCAGUAAUUAGAAUGUGAUUCAUCACACAUGGCACUCACCAUGUAGAACUCCAUUAGAAUCAAUUUCCUUCCAUUUCUUGAGAUUUCCCCUGGUGAUAGAAUUCUCAUGGGCUGUAAGAAAAUUUAAAGAAGUGUAAAAUUGUUGGCUAACCACAGAAUAAUGAGCAUGCAAACUCAAGAAAAUGAACAUUGUAAUACUGGCGAAAAAUUCUCAACUAUGAAAAUAUCGAGAAUUAGUUAUGACAUCACAAGAAACCAGAGAAAAUCUCAUAGAAUGUAGUUUUUCUAUUAGGUCAACAAAAUAGUUCUCUGACGGCACUAAGAAAAAGGUCAAAUAUGUGUCCAACGACAACCUAAAUACCUAAUGAAAUUCAUUGAACAGCAAUCAGAACACAAUUAAUUACAAUUGGCACUCACCAUGUAGAACUCCAUUCGAAUCAAUUUCAUUCCGUUUCUUGAGAUUUACCCCAAUGAUAGAAUUCUCAUGGCUGUUCUUGGAUACCUGUGUAGAAGAAUUUGGGUCUACUAGACCAGCUUUGUUGCUGUCUUUUAAUUUAUUCUGCUCGCCAUUUCUAUUUUCUAUUUUCUGUUUCGCUUUCUCCUCCUUUUUUUUCUCUUUAUCCCUGUCUUUGUCCUUCCCAUGCCCUUUUUUCUCCUUAUCUUUUUCUUUCCUUUUAUCUCCCCGUUUAUCAUCUUUCCUUUUAUCUCGUCGUUUAUCAUCUUUUUCUUCCUUAGUCCUGUCUGUUCCUUCAACUCUUCCUUCCAAAGUUUUGUCAAAAUUCUUCUCCAAAGGUCUAGGAUGACAGUUCCCAGCAUGAUUCUGAACUGCUGCAUUUCCAAUUGGUCGGGCCUCUGUACAGAUUCCUCUCCCAUCAAUCUUUUUAGCAUCAACGCCCUUAUCCUGGAACUUCUCCUUACCAUUAGGCCAGGUGCCAAUCUUUUUACCAUCAACAGCAUGAUUCUGAACUGUUGCAUUUCCAAUUGGCCGGGCCUCGGCACGGAUUCCUCUCCCAUCAAUCUUUUUAGCAUCAACACCCUUAUUCUGGAGCUUCUCCUUACCAUCAGGCCAGGUGCCGGUGCCACUAAUUUUAGCAACCAGCCUAACAGUCCCUUCAUCCUUUCUACAGUCUGCAGUUGUAGAUUGUUGAACCAAUUGAGUCCCAGCUCCUCCAUCAUUGUUCCUAACCCUCCUGUCCAACUCCAUGAGGAAUUUAGAGUCCUUGUUCUCCUCCGCCAGAUGAUUAUUCUCUCUGGCCUUCUCUCCAUUGUUACUGCCAUGCUGUUUGGUAAGUCUAUCUUCAAACAAGAAAGCUUUCUUAUCAUUUUGUUUGAUUUCCUUUUGAUGUAGGUUACCAGCAUUAAGACCCUGAGCUUGUGCUGGAGAUCCUCUCCCGUCUGCAGCACUGAUUUUACUUUUAUCUUUACCGUUGUCCUUGUCCUUAUCUUUAUCUUUCUUUUUUUCUCUGCUUUUUUCUUUUUUGUCCUUUUUAUCCUUAUGUUUUCCAUCCCUUCCUUCCUUUUCCCCAUUUUCCUUACUUUCCUUCUUCUCUUUGUCCUUUUUCUCUUUUUUAUGUUUUUUUUCUUUGCGCCUUUCCUGGAAGUUCAAGUGAAAAAAAAUAUCAUGAAUAGAAAUUAAAUAAGGAAACAAACAAAAUGACUUCACAUCACCACUUCUCCCUUUAAAAGAGCAUAAAGAGAAUAGCAUCUAUAGAAGAAUAACCACAACAUGGUCCUUAAAGAUCCAGCAAAAUUAAUAACAAAUUCAAGACCUUCAAAAUCCCAAUCUAUCAGCAUAACGAUGUAGAGUAUGCAAAAUUAGUUCCUAAUUUAACAAGCAGACAGAAAAUAUAAUAACAAAAAUGAUUGCCAAUAUGCUUCAAUGCGGCCAACAAAUUAUAACACACAAAGUACUCUGCAAUCAGAUAAUGACUUUACUUGCAAUAAAUAAAAUCCAUACUGAAAAAGGAAUCCAUAUCAAGUUCAACAAAAGGAUGGCCACCAGUGUUAUAUUGGAGGUGAAAUUUCUUACAACAAGUAGUUCUACUGUGCAAAAGUAAAUAAUAUCCACCAACUUGUAUAUCAAAAUUAAAAUAAUCCUAACAAAUAAAUUGACAGAGCAUUGGUUCCAAAUAGUGCUAAUGCACUUAUAGUGACUCCUAGUCCCGGACAGCAUAUCAUAAGUAUAAUAUCUUACCCUCAAGGCUUUAACAUUUAUUCUGAACGGGAAGGUACACAAUCAAGCCCAUAGGCUAUUCUUUUACAUCAAAAUUAUGUUUUGUCCAACUCUCUAGGUGUGCUUAUCAUCCAUAAAGAGACGGUACACCUAAAACAGAUUUCAUAAUGUCCAACAGUAUCUAUGUUUGAAUUUUCUAGACAUCCUCGAUUCAACAUAAUAUAUCCACCAUAUUUUCAAUUCAUCAUAACAUAUCCACCAUACAAAAUAUGUGAACUAUUUAUUUUCCCGUCCAAAGGGCUCAUAAUUUGAUGACUACUAAUUAUUCUACAUCUAAUCAUAAACAAUGUUUUGACCUUCCCUUAGCCCACACCAAGCAUGCCAGCCCCAUAAAAUCAGAAGAAGAAGAAAGCCAAUUGACUUAUAAAUAUAAGUAUGAUAGAUCAGAGCAUUCCGACCAUGUACCAAACUCAAAUGAGUGACAGGGUGGUUUGGAGGGACAAACAUAGGGGUAAGAGAGAUAGGGUGGUGUCAAUGUGGGUUUGAAUACCCAACUGACAUUACCAACAUUUGCCGUUAAAAAAAGAACUAAUAUCCCAAAAAUGGAGAAAACCUGAAGAGACCAAACCUAUAAAUGGGUGCAAACUAUACAGACCAAGAUCUUAUUUAAAUCUGAGAGGAAAGUGAAAAAAACAAGAAAGACUUUUAAUCACUAUCUCUUCACUGACAAAGGUAGAACUCCCCUCCACAAGCUCAGCACUAGGAAACCCAUCAGUCCAAAAUAAAAAAUUCGAAGAUAAACAACAAUCAACAAUAGAUUAGUGUGCACGCAGGCACUGUAGUAAGUCAAAACUCCAUCAACCAAGGGUUCACAAUCGCAAUUGAUCAAGAUAGGUCAAAAAGCCAAUCAUUGUUGAUUGCAUUUGCACCCAAACCCCAAUCAAACAAUAUCCUUUUGUUUUUGUGUGUGUGGAAUAUCAAAGUGACCAUUUCAAACGCUAUAUGUCAUCGGUUUACAGAGAUCUUUAAGUAAGUUGGAUUUAUUCUACCAUUCUCUUUUUGUUUUUCUGUGUGUGUGGAAUAUCAAAGUGACCAUUUCAAAUGCUACAUGUCAUCGGUUUACAUAGAUCUUUAACUAAGAUGGAUUUAUCUACCAUUCAAAAGAAACAAAUUUAAAAACUAAAUCAUACCAUGAAAUGAUGGCAGACAUUUUUACAAACUAUUUUUAAGGUCAAGACAGCCUGGUAUUUCAAAUCUUACAAAAUGGUGGCAUCCAAUCAAAGGUAAGAAGUCUUAGGAGUAACUUGAAAAAUGAACCUUAUUCAUGCACAUUUAACGUUAAGCUCGCAAAAAAUCCAGUUUUGCAUUCCAGAUAAUGAUAGGUCAAACAAUUUGCACAGUAUAAUACAGGAAAAUUGUAUUAACCUUUUUUAGUAAAUCCACAUCAUCUGUUCUAGAUUUCUUUUCAUAUCCUGGUGGUGGAAAUGGAAAGCAACGCGACAUUGCACAAAAUCCAGAUAUGCCUAGUGUAUCCUCUCUGCAAAACUGAGAAUGCUUCAAUCACUUUCCAGUAGUACUGUUCCAGAAAGAGAUCGAACCAGCAACUAUUCUCUUGACCAUGCACCAUGUCACUGCAUUCAUUUCAAACUUUAAUAUUCCUCCAUAAGCUUCUUACUCACUACAAACACAAAUUACGGAAACCACUAUGGUUUACUCCUUCACCAAAUAUGCAAAUAGCCGAAACUAAUAUUACUGAAAUUUGAUUCAAAAUCAACGUUGAGUACGACAAGAACAACCACUCAAUCAAACUAACUAGUAACUAGUAGUAAAACACUAAUGAUUCAACAUGACCCUGUUAACUAAUUGCUUAGGAUUAAGAUCUUUACAAUAAUGCAAUAAUCUUAUAUCCUCUAUAUUUUCUUUGGGGGCAACAAACAAUUAUCAGAUUAUCCUUUCAGUGAUGGCCCUAAACAUGAAACAUGUCCCAACAAAGACGGAAAAAAAGGCCAAAAUACGGAAAAUUCAGCCUUUAAACGGUGUCUAAAAUUGGUGAUCUCUGAAUAAACAAGAAUUAAUAUAAACAAUCCUCUUCCAUGCUCAUAAAAGCAGCAAUGUUAAAGACCAUGAUCUUAAGAAUAAACAAUCUCCAAGUACAAAUGAUCUCCAAAUCCACAAUUCGAACCUCUAAAGAGAUCGGAGCAUGUGCCCAUUUCACGCAAGAACCCCUCCUCCUUUGCUUUUGAUCAAAACCCUAAUCAGUCCGAAAAUUCCCAAUUCAGCAACUAUUAAGUAACGAUCCAAUGAAACCCUAGAAAAUUCAGCAACACAAAUAAGCUGAGUAUCGCUAACACCCACAGAAAAUUCAAAAAUUAAAAAACCUAAUUUUAACCCUAAUUAUAAAAAAUAAAAAAAUAAAAACACUAAAAUUGAUUGGAAAAAAGGGAAUAAAACGAAUUUUGGAUACCUAAGCAAUAAUAGGUAUCGAUGAAAAGGGGAAAAGGAAACUCUGAUUCGAGAUUGGGAUUGAUUUUUCCACUGCAAAGUGGGCAAUGAAGAAGAAGAAGAAGAACAAGAUCUCUUUUUGAUUGAGAAGAAAGGAAAAAAGAGUAAAAUGAAAAAUAAAAAGGGAAUUGAGAAUUAUAAUAGAAAGAAAUAAACGUGUUUAUUGUUUUUAAUUAGGAUUAAGAUUAUGGGUAUGAAAGAAUAAUAAGAGGGUUUUUGUUUUUGUGGUAGUUUCUAGAUUUUUGGUUUUCGUUUUUCGUUUUUCUUCUUUCUGCUUCUUGUGUCUCAAAUCUCUCUCUCUCUCUCUCUCAAUUAUAUGUAUCAAUUGCUUCUUCUCAUGUGUUUUUCGUUAUUUAUGUGUUUGUUUUUUCUCUCUCUUCCAAAUUGCAUUCUUUUCUCUUUAUUUUCGGGUGUUAUACGCAAAAAAAUACGGAUAGAGAUACCACGUAUUUAUAUAUUGUAAAAACGGCACUUUCCCUUGGCACACAGACUUGUAAAAACUGUAUUGGCAAUUGGCACUUCUUUCUUUCCGUUAGAGAUUCAAUAGAGUCAACAAAAUCGAAUUCAUGUUUUUUAGAUUAUCAUAAUCAUAACCUGCCUGCCUCCACACAUGGGUGGAUGGAUCAUUUCUAACCCACCAGGUAGCUCUAUGUAGGGGCUAAACCAAUACAGUUAUACAACAUAUUGUCCCCAUCCCCAUUACUUAAUUGUAAUAACAAGUAGUUUCAAUGAAGUUACCGAGAUGACUAUUAUUAUGUGGACUCUUUUAUAUGAAAAACGUAUAUGGAUCUUACACAUUGAAUAUGAAUCUUACUUAAAGUGAUGAGGCUAAAAUUCUUUUUAUCUAAUAAAGUAGUGAGUAUUAGAAUUUAGAAAGAAGUGUUUUUAAUAUUUCUCACUUUAAUAAUGUUAAAUCAAAAGCUAAAAUAAAUAUGUAUUUUGGACUUAACUCCUAGACUGGAUUUACUGAGGAAUAUACGGCAAGGCCAACUUCAUAAGUCAUGUCAAACAUAUCGCUCGAGCAAUUAGACAUCGUGUUAUCUAAAUCACGAAAUAAUCCACUGACUACGUCAAGGUUUAUGAAAAUUGAUCGAGAAUUGUGUCCUGAUUUCUUCAACAGUCUUAGUAGGAUCAUGCUAAUUAUCGUGAAAACGGCGAGGUAAGUUAGAAGUCUCGCAUUUGAUAAAAAAAAAAAAAAAAAAAUGAGUCUUGAACAAAUAUAUAAGUGGGAUGACUCGUAAAAUAAAUGUCUUAAAGUUUUGUCUGAAUAUGCGGUGUCUAAUCUCACUUGUGUGGUUACUCUUAAUCCACUGUGUUGUUCCAAUGAAAUGAGGCUCCCCCUUAUGGCCUAACAAUUAUAUCAUAGUUGGUGGUUUGAUGAAGGGUUAAUCCAACGCACUGCAUCAAAGGUCUUCCUUACAAUAAUGGUAAGGUGACAUGUUCCAUUGAGUGCAACCAACGACAAUACAUAUGUAUGUGAAUGAAUAAACUUUUGCAUAAAGGGGAGCAUAAUGAAUGGAAUUACUCGCACUUAAUGAGGAGAUUGUUGUGACAAGCGUACAAUGAGUUAAAAGCCCCACGUAUGAUAAAAAAAGUUAGUUCUAAACAAUAUAUAUGUGGGAGGACCCGUCGACUCAAUGUCUCAAGGUCCUAUGUAAAUAUGUGGUAUCUAGUUCACUUGUGUAGUUGUUCUUGGUUCAUUGUGAUAAUCCCCCGUGACCCAACAUUAAUUAACCAUUCUUUCAACUUAUAAGAGGAUCUCCAUCCUAAAUUAAAGAUAUACACACUUUUCCAAUAAACCUUUCGCUUUGCUAAAUUAGAUACUAACUUAAGACUUGUUGAAUUCUAUAUAUAAUGUUACAAGCCAUCAUUGUGGUGGUCGAAAUCAAAGUGAUUCUAGAUACGAGGUAAAAUUGU